rfam:Triticum aestivum genome assembly, contig: Triticum_aestivum_CS42_TGACv1_scaffold_605225_7DL
ACUCAGUUGGUAGAGUACAAAGCUCUUAACCUUAUGGACGUGGGUUCAAGCCCCAU